rnacentral:rRNA from 1 species
AGACACGGCCCAGACUCCUACGGGAGGCAGCAGUGGGGAAUUUUGGACAAUGGGCGCAAGCCUGAUCCAGCAAUGCCGCGUGAGUGAAGAAGGCCUUCGGGUUGUAAAGCUCUUUUGUCAGGGAAGAAACGGGCUGGGCUAAUACCCUGGUCUAAUGACGGUACCUGAAGAAUAAGCACCGGCUAACUACGUGCCAGCAGCCGCGGUAAUACGUAGGGUGCAAGCGUUAAUCGGAAUUACUGGGCGUAAAGCGUGCGCAGGCGGUUGUGCAAGACCGAUGUGAAAUCCCCGGGCUUAACCUGGGAAUGGCAUUGGUGACUGUACGGCUAGAGUGUGUCAGAGGGGGGUAGAAUUCCACGUGUAGCAGUGAAAUGCGUAGAGAUGUGGAGGAAUACCGAUGGUGAAGGCAGCCCCCUGGGAUAACACUGACGCUCAUGCACGAAAGCGUGGGGAGCAAACAGGAUUAGAUACCCUGGUAGUCCACGCCCUAAACGAUGUCUACUAGUUGUCGGGUCUUCAUUGACUUGGUAACGCAGCUAACGCGUGAAGUAGACCGCCUGGGGAGUACGGUCGCAAGAUUAAAACUCAAAGGAAUUGAC